AACUUUUGACAAUGGUUCACUUGGCUCUGGCAUCGAUGAAGAACGCAGCGAAAUGCGAUUAGUAAUGUGAUUUGCAGAAUUCAGUGAAUCAUCGAAUCUUUGAACGCACAUUGCGCCCCUUGGUAUUCCGAGGGGCAUGCCUGUUCGAGCGUCAUAUUGACCACUCCCGCUUGCGGGGUCUUGGGCUUCGCCUCUGGGCGGGUCUUAAAAUCAGUGGCGGUGCCGUCUGGCUCUAAGCGUGGUAAAUCUCCUCGCUAUAGGGUUCCGGAAGGAUGCUGGCCAACAACCCCCAACUUUUUAAGGUUGACCUCGGAUCAGGUAGGGAUACCCGCUGAACUUAAGCAUAUCAAUAAGCGGAGGCU
rnacentral:misc_RNA from 1 species